rnacentral:rRNA from 1 species
GACGAACGCUGGCGGCGUGCCUAAUACAUGCAAGUAGAACGCUGAAGAGAGGAGCUUGCUCUUCUUGGAUGAGUUGCGAACGGGUGAGUAACGCGUAGGUAACCUGCCUUGUAGCGGGGGAUAACUAUUGGAAACGAUAGCUAAUACCGCAUAACAAUGGAUGACACAUGUCAUUUAUUUGAAAGGGGCAAUUGCUCCACUACAAGAUGGACCUGCGUUGUAUUAGCUAGUAGGUGAGGUAAUGGCUCACCUAGGCGACGAUACAUAGCCGACCUGAGAGGGUGAUCGGCCACACUGGGACGGAGACACGGCCCAGACUCCUACGGGAGGCAGCAGUAGGGAAUCUUCGGCAAUGGGGGCAACCCUGACCGAGCAACGCCGCGGGAGUGAAGAAGGUUGUCGGAUCGUAAAGCUCUGUUGUAAGUCAAGAACGGGUGUGAGAGUGGAAAGUUCACACUGUGACGGUAGCUUACCAGAAAGGGACGGCUAACUACGUG